AAAGGGUGACUUUCAGGGCUUAGAGGUGAAUUAAAGGCAUUUGAAUCCCAGUUGAAAGCUGAUGUCACAGCGAAUUUACAGGACAGGAUAUGGGAUGAUGUGCCUGCACUGAAAAGAUUGCAGAAGACACCAAGAGGCAAAUUGAUGUGUGAUCAUUAUAAGCAGUUGGCGAGAGGUUCAAGAGGACAAGAGAAUCACCAAACAGGAAAAGGAACUACUGUAUCAACAGUAGGGCCUGAAGAGGAUCCCACUGAUGGUGAUGCAACAUGGGAGGGGAGUAAAUUAAAUGUUUCUACCCCCUUGCCCUGGCCACCUGUAUUGCCAGGUGGUAACCCAGUCACACAAAGGACCUGUUGCUAGAAGUUGCUGUGUCACUCCCCGUCUUCACUCCACAGACCAGGAUUACCAUGAUAGCCAACAUGCUGAUUCUUCUACAAGUCACCCAUUUCAUCACAAACAAGUGAUCCUGUUUCCUAGGAAUUUAGUACAUCAGGGGAAUAGCAGCUGAACUGAAAUAUGGUUCCAAAUGCAUCAGGGGAGCUCAGG